rnacentral:rRNA from 1 species
CCUACGGGAGGCAGCAGUAGGGAAUAUUGCUCAAUGGGGGAAACCCUGAAGCAGCAACGCCGCGUGGAGGAUGAAGGUUUUCGGAUUGUAAACUCCUUUUGUUAGAGAAGAUAAUGACGGUAUCUAACGAAUAAGCACCGGCUAACUCCGUGCCAGCAGCCGCGGUAAUACGGAGGGUGCAAGCGUUACUCGGAAUCACUGGGCGUAAAGGGCGCGUAGGCGGGAUAGCAAGUCAGAUGUGAAAUCCUAUGGCUUAACCAUAGAACUGCAUUUGAAACUGUUAUUCUAGAGUAUGGGAGAGGUAGGUAGAAUUCUUGGUGUAGGGGUAAAAUCCGUAGAGAUCAAGAGGAAUACUCAUUGCGAAGGCGACCUGCUAGAACAUAACUGACGCUGAUGCGCGAAAGCGUGGGGAGCAAACAGGAUUAGAUACCCGAGUAGUC